CAGGAAACUCAAGAUUCACAUUCGAAAUUCCUGGUGUUGAGCUUUUUUCCAUUUUGUUGUAAUCAUAUUUUGUGAAGAGGCAGUAGCAUUUACCUGGACCAGUCAGACCUAAAAAGGGGAACCUCAAUCAAAUUUCUUUUGAAAGAGUAAUUCAUGAAUGAGACAAACCAUGUACCUGCCCUGCUAGCUCGUUGUUUGGCUGAAUUCUGGUUUACAAGUUGUGCUUCUAAUGUUGUCAUGUUAUUUAAUGGAUAAAAAGAGGCCUCCAUCUUCAUUCCUGAAUCAAUGACAAUUUUUAUACCAGGAACCACCAUCCAUGAUUCUGCAAUGUUUGUUGCAACAACAAUCUUUCUUUUUCCCUCCGGCGUUGUCUCAAAUACCUUGAAGAAAAUUUACUGGUAAGGGACUGCAUAAAUGCAAAGAAGUGGAAAUGGUUAAAGAGUGAGAGAGUGUCAAGAAAGUAUGUAGCAUAUGAAAAAGCAGCUAACAACAGAAUAAUUUAGUCACAAGGGUGUUGCUAGUAAUUUAGAAGUGAAUGGUAAAUAGUAAACAAUUGGGGAUUAAUCAAUAAGUAAGCAGAUUAUUUGGGAACUUUGCUUAAGUAAUAAUUUGGUAAAGUGUAGUUGUACAAGUGCAAUUUCAAAUGGCUAUGCAGUUUAUGAAAAUUCUGCUGCUCUUUACCACACAGAAUCGGGUAAAAAAAGCAAGUGGCAAAAAUUGCACUCAGCGUUAAAAACAACUAAUGUUAUUAUAAAACUUCAAUGAAUUUAAAAUAAAGUUUAACCAGAACUUAAGUACAUAAUUUUGUAAUUUUUAAUCAAAAGAUACUUUGCUUGCAUCUCUGAUUAAAAUGGUCCCAAAUCCUUCGAAAAA